rnacentral:rRNA from 1 species
GUCGAGCGAUGAGAGGAGCUUGCUCCUCUGAUUUAGCGGCGGACGGGUGAGUAACACGUGGGUAAUCUGCCUGUAAGACGGGGAUAACUCCGGGAAACCGGGGCUAAUACCGGAUAAUAAGAAGAAACGCAUGUUUCUUUUUUGAAAGUCGGUUUCGGCUGACACUUACAGAUGAGCCCGCGGCGCAUUAGCUAGUUGGUGAGGUAACGGCUCACCAAGGCGACGAUGCGUAGCCGACCUGAGAGGGUGAUCGGCCACACUGGGACUGAGACACGGCCCAGACUCCUACGGGAGGCAGCAGUAGGGAAUCUUCGGCAAUGGGCGAAAGCCUGACCGAGCAACGCCGCGUGAGCGAUGAAGGCCUUCGGGUCGUAAAGCUCUGUUGUUAGAGAAGAACAAGUACGAGAGUAACUGCUCGUACCUUGACGGUACCUAACCAGAAAGCCACGGCUAACUACGUGCCAGCAGCCGCGGUAAUACGUAGGUGGCAAGCGUUAUCCGGAAUUAUUGGGCGUAAAGCGCGCGCAGGCGGUCUCUUAAGUCUGAUGUGAAAGCCCACGGCUCAACCGUGGAGGGUCAUUGGAAACUGGGAGACU